rnacentral:rRNA from 1 species
UGAGGUAGAUAGGUUCGGGGUGGAAGCGUGGCGACACGUGCAGCUGACGAAUACUAAUCGAUCGAGGACUUAACCAAA